rnacentral:rRNA from 1 species
GACAGCAGCAGCCGCGGUAAUACGUAGGUGGCGAGCGUUGUCCGGAAUUAUUGGGCGUAAAGGGAGCGCAGGCGGACAUAUAAGUCCAUCUUAAAAGUGCGGGGCUCAACCCCGUGAGGGGAUGGAAACUGUAUGCCUUGAGUGCAGGAGAGGAAAGCGGAAUUCCCAGUGUAGCGGUGAAAUGCGUAGAUAUUGGGAGGAACACCAGUGGCGAAGGCGGCUUUCUGGACUGUAACUGACGCUGAGGCUCGAAAGCCAGGGGAGCGAACGGGAUUAGAUACCCCCGUAGUCCCUGUCUCUUAUACA